CCGAGAUUGGGCCCUCCGCGCUUUGAA
rnacentral:sRNA from 1 species